rnacentral:rRNA from 1 species
UACGGAGGGGGCAAGCGUUAUUCGGAUUUAUUGGGCGUAAAGGGCGCGUAGGCGGCCCGGCAAGUCUGAUGUGAAAUCUCCACAGCUCACCUGGGAGAGGCCAUUGGAAACUGCCGGGCUUGAGGUCCGGAGAGGCCGGCGGAAUUCCCGGUGUAGCGGUGGAAUGCGUAGAUAUCGGGAAGAACACCAGUGGCGAAGGCGGCCGGCUGGACGGCACCUGACGCUGAGGCGCGAAAGUGCGGGGAGCAAACGGG